CCCAAUUCCUCUUCAAUCUCAAAGCUCUCACGCUCUCCUUCGUUUCUCAGACGGCGCACAAACGGCAGCCUCUCCGGCGAGCGUUUUGAACGCCGCCGUGAGUCAUUAUCGUCUCCUAAUGUCCCUCUCGUUGCCUCACUUUCUCAUCUCUCAAUCUCAGCUCCGUUAUCCCUCAAAUCGCUCUCGUCUCCGAUUUCAUUCUCAGGCAAAUAACCAAUUUCUUAAUCCUAGAUGCAUACAUGAGGAUGAAAGAACGAGAAUUAAAGCAUUGAACGAGAACCUGUUAGGAGACCUGAAUUUCAGAUGCGGUGGCGGAGAUUCCCGACCACCGCGAAACUCAGUGGAGAAGAUUAUUGAUGAGCGAGAUGUUGAUGAUGAAUAUCGUGCUGUUGUCGAUGCAGAUGAAUCGAAUCGUGGCGGAGAGGUGUUGAAGGUGCUGAUUCGAGGAUGAUGAGGAUUGUGCGAUGAAGAUGAUUGUUGUGAUGUGAAGUAGUUACAAAAAAAGAUCACAGAGCAGGGAUAACUCAGAGAGAGGGUUUAGUAGAUGAAGUUUCAGAAUUUUAGUGGCGAAUGGUGAAGAAUGAAGAUCGGUGGAAUCAGUGGAGAAAUGGAGGAGUGAACAAAAAUGGUGGAAACAGAGUGGUUCAGGAAGAGAAGGAAAAAUCGUGAAGGUGUCGACGAGUGAGAAGUGAAGAGAUUGAAGAAAAUGGUUAAUGGACGUGGAGAGGAAUGAUUGAAGAUGAGGGAUGAGUUAUAUAGGGGUUUCUCAAGGUUGAAUGUAGAUUUUGAAUGAUGUACUUCAUUGGCAGAUAUGGAGCAGAACUGGGUCAAAUUGCAGGCUGCCUGGUGUGUUGGGAUAACUUGAAGAUGAAUGAAAGGCUUUGAAUUCAAUCAUGAUGCGAUGCGCACAUUCAAUGCAACGAACGCCAACUUCCUAUUCGCUUUAGACUUGUCAUUUCCUUUCUGUUUGUUGUCGUUCUAAUCCUUUGUUCCCCCACGAGGCUAGAUUCAAUGAGUUCACAGUUGGGUUUCCUCCUGGUUUUUUCAUUCUCUUUACGAUCUAUAUACCUUCCAUUCUCAGUACCUUUUUCCCUGUUGUCUUUAAGGAUAUCAAAUCUUAAGCCUCCCUUUCCAGGUGUAUUGUUUGUGUCAGUUUUGUUUCUUUUCUUAUUACUUUCUAAAAUUAAACCUGCACCAUCUGUAAUUACCUUAAGCUUGUUCUUGUUGGCUCUUUUAGAGUUUUGGACUACUUGCCAAGGCCCUAUUGCAAGUUUCUUUGGCACUUCCCGUUUGCCGCUUCUUUCUUUUGUUAGUUCUUGACCCUUGUUGUCCUUACCACCUGUCUCACAUGAUUCAGUAUAGUGUCCAUAUCUCCUGCAAGCAAGACAGAGGUAGUGAAGCUUUUUAUAUUCUAUCUUAUAGUGUUUUACUUUAAUUGAAAACAUGGCAAGGAAUGUAUUAGAUAUAUUUACAUGGACACACAUUCUAGCGUAUUUGCCUCGUUCUAUAGAGAGGGUGAUCCACAUGUUAACACUCGAGAAUCAUAGUACUUAAUUGGGAGUCAACAGAUUUGAACCCACACAACGAGUAGGUCGAUGAUAUUGCUGUUCAGGCAGAAGUUAGCGCUUCAUUCUCUUAAUGUGAGGUAGUGAUCAUAGAUCAUCCAAGGCCCUUCCAUGGGAACUAUAGUGUGAUCUUCAUAAUUUGUGAAAGUGAUAAGAUAGUAUUCUUGCCCUAGAUCUAUGAUAUGUAGAAUUCCCUUUUGUGCCCACAGAAGAUUGAGCCUAUUCUCCAACGCCUUAUACCCGAUCUUUCUUCCAAGCAUCUUGAAAAUCAUGCCCUUUGCAUCAUGGCUUCGCUAUCUUUUUCUCCUGCUUCCGAAAGAUGAAUUCAGGACAGUCGUGAUCCCCAAUUUUCAUUUACUCUAUCUAAGUGUCUUCCAAGUCCAUCUCAUCUUCUACAUCCUCUUCUUCCACUUUACUGCUAUCCGUGUGUUCUUCGGUGACCACGGUUCUUAUAGGAACAUGAUGCUCUAAUUUCGGGUUGUUCGCUCCCAUCCAGAGUCGAAUCCCCGAAGCUAGGUUCUCCUUCAUCAUUAUCUUUCACUAUUUUAGUGCUUCGGGCCCGAAGGUCUUCUUCUUGGGGUUGGGGAUUUUCGACCUCAAGGGCGUUCAUGGCGUUCUUCAAGAACUAACUAGACAAUUGAACUCUUUGUGAGAAACAAUCAAGCUUCCACCAUGGCGGUCCCUAAUCCGAUGAUUAGGAGUUUAAACCAUCGCAAUGAGAUACUGAUCCGACGAGAAAUAGCGAGACACUAGAUGGAAAGCCACAAAAUGAACCCUAAAUCACAAACUCUAGCAGAGCUUUUACU